UACGUAGGGGGCAAGCGUUGUCCGGAUUCAUUGGGCGUAAAGAGCGUGUAGGCGGCCAGGUAGGUCGGUUGUGAAAACUGGAGGCUCAACCUUCAGAGGUCGACCGAAACCAUCUGGCUAGAGUCCGGGAGAGGAGAGUGGAAUUCCUGGUGUAGCGGUGAAAUGCGCAGAUAUCAGGAAGAACACCCGUGGCGAAAGCGGCUCUCUGGAACGGUACUGACGCUGAGACGCGAAAGCGUGGGAAGCGAACAGG
rnacentral:rRNA from 1 species